rnacentral:tRNA from 1 species
UAGCUCAGUGGUUAAGAGCACUGACUGUUCUUCCAGAGGUCCUGAGUUCAAAUCUCAG